UACGGGAGGCAGCAGUGGGGAAUAUUGCACAAUGGGCGAAAGCCUGAUGCAGCUAUGCCGCGUGUAUGAAGAAGGCCUUAGGGUUGUAAAGUACUUUCAUCGGGGAGGAAAAACAAAACUAAUAAUUUUAUUUCUUGACGUUACCCGAAAAAGAAGCACCGGCUAACUCCGUGCCAGCAGCCGCGGUAAUACGGAGGGUGCUAGCGUUAAUCAGAAUUACUGGGCGUAAAGAGCACGUGGGUGGUUUUUUUAAGUCAGAUGUGAAAUCCCUGGGCUUAACCUGGAACUGCAUUUUGAAACUGAAAUACUAGAGUAUCGUAGAGGGAGGUAGAAUUCUAGGUGUAGCGGUGAAAUGCGUAGAUAUCUGGAGGAAUACCUGUGGCGAAAGCGGCCUCCUAAACGAAUACUGACACUGAGGUGCGAAAGCGUGGGGAGCAAACAGGGAUUAGAUACC
rnacentral:rRNA from 1 species